CCCUUAGAUGUUCUGGGCCGCACGCGCGCUACACUGACGCAUUCAACGAGUCUAAAACCUGGUCUGAUAGGGCUGGGUAAUCUUUUGAAUGUGCGUCGUGAGUGGGAUAAAUGAUUGUAAUUCUUCAUUUUCAACGAGGAAUGCCUAGUAAACGCAAGUCAUCAGCUUGCAUUGAUUACGUCCCUGCCCUUUGUACACACCGCCCGUCGCUCCUACCGAUUGAAUGAUCCGAUGAAUAUCAUGGACUGAGAGUGUUAGAGUUUUCGGACUUCUACACUUCUCGGGAAGUGAAGUGAAUCUUAUCAUUUAGAGGAAGGAGAAGUCGUAACA
rnacentral:rRNA from 1 species